GACGAACGCUGGCGGCGUGCUUAACACAUGCAAGUCGAACGGAAAGGCCCUGCUUUCGUGGGGUGCUCGAGUGGCGAACGGGUGAGUAACACGUGAGUAACCUGCCCUUGACUUUGGGAUAACUUCAGGAAACUGGGGCUAAUACCGGACAGGAGCCGCUGCUCCAUGGAGGGGGUUGGAAAGUUUCGGCGGUUGGGGAUGGACUCGCGGCUGAUCGGCUUGUUGGUGGGGUAGUGGAUGACCAAGGCAUUGACGGGUCGCCGGCCUGGGAGGGUGACCGGCCACCAUGGGACUGCGGUACGGCCCAGACUCCUACGGUAGGCAGCAGUGGGGAAUAUUGCACAAUGGGCGGAAGCCUGAUGCAGCAACGCCGCGUUCGGGAUGACGGCCUUCGGGUUGUAAACCGCUUUCGCCUGUGACGAAGCGUGAGUGACGGUAAUGGGUAAAGAAGCACCGGCUAACUACGUG
rnacentral:rRNA from 1 species